GUCAGUGGUGAAGACUGGGCGGCUGCUGAUCAGCCAUGAGGCCCCCCUGACAGGAGGCUUUGCAUCGGAGAUUAGUUCCACUGUUCAGGAAGAGUGCUUCUUGAAUCUAGAGGCUCCUAUUUCAAGAGUAUGUGGCUACGACACUCCUUUCCCUCAUAUAUUUGAACCUUUCUACAUCCCAGACAAAUGGAAAUGCUAUGAUGCCCUUCGAAAAAUGAUUAAUUAUUGAUGAAAUUAUUGAUGAAGUCUACAACUGUUCUAACCAGAAGAUGGGAGGAAGAACAAGAAUAUACGGAAGCCUUCUUUAGAACUCUUGGCGUUUAUUCAGAUGUGUGUUUUCUGGAAGUCCUGUAGCAGAUUAUCUUCUCUGAAGUAAAUCCAUCCUGAAUGUCAUCUUGGCUAAUCUUCAAAAGCUCAAAUUUUCCCCUAAUUAUGAAAUCAGUGAUGGACAGGUGAUUGCUGUAAUAAAUAGUUUCAAAUGUAUUAACGAAAUAAAUUCCAGAUGUAGUAUGAACUUUAUUCACUUUGCAAUGCUUCACUAGGAUACAUCUUUAAAUGACUUCACUGUGUAAAUAUUAUGUGGGAUUUUAUUCAAUAAAACAUAUUGUACUCA